AGUUUGAUCUGGCUCAGGAUGAACGCUAGCUACAGGACUUAACACAUGCAAGUCGAGGGGCAGCAUUAGAUUAGCUUGCUAAUCUAGAGUGGCGACCGGCGCACGGGUGAGUAACGCGUAUCCAACCUGCCCCCUACCCGGGGAUAGCCUUGCGAAAGUAAGAUUAAUACCCGGUGCUGUUAUGAUUCCGCAUGGGAAUAUAACGAAAGAUUCAUCGGUAGGGGAUGGGGAUGCGUCCGAUUAGCUUGUUGGCGGGGUAACGGCCCACCAAGGCGACGAUCGGUAGGGGUUCUGAGAGGAAGGUCCCCCACAUUGGAACUGAGACACGGUCCAAACUCCUACGGGAGGCAGCAGUGAGGAAUAUUGGUCAAUGGGCGAGAGCCUGAACCAGCCAAAAGUAGCGUGAAGGAAGACUGCCCUACGGGUUGUAAACUUCUUUUGUACGGGAAUAAAGUUGGCCACGUGUGGCUUUUUGCAUGUACCGUACGAAUAAGGACCGGCUAAUUCCGUGCCAGCCGCAGC
rnacentral:rRNA from 1 species